rnacentral:lncRNA from 1 species
AAUAAUCAGAGUAUUUAUUACAUAGCGGAAGUCUUACAAAAUAAAAAAAAAUAAAAGGAUCCAAAAUCUAUCCUUGGCGCUAGAAAGUCAACUGGGAGACGCCACCCAGAUCGAAUUGAACUCCUCGAUGUGUGGCUCCACUUGAACCACAUGUUCUUCUCCUGUGGGGGGGUGUGAGACAGCAAGGGUGAGCUCACAUACGUUCAUAGCUCAACAAGUUGUGGGGACUAAUGUGCAUGAACUCCCCAAAGGUGGAAGUUCAUGUGAAGUGUAAGGUUGAUCAACAAAAUAAAGGUUGAGGCUGAGCAUUGCUUUUAUAAGUUGGUCAAAAUUUUAUUAGCAAUUACUAAGUAUAAGUAUAUACCAAACCAUAAUAAAUAAUAGAACAAAAUUAAUAAAUAAUCUCAUGCAAAUGCAAAUGACAAAUUGAAUUUAAGUUACAUAAAUUAAUCAUGUGAGUGUCCGAGCUGCUCAUGACCGUGAGCACGACUAAUAUACCAGUUUUACACUCUGCAGAGGUUGUGCAUGUUUACCCACAAGUCAUGUUACCCAUCUUCCAAGGGGUCAUGAAUCCCAUACACCUCUACUAAGAAAGCGAGGCAGGGUAACACUACGAGGCCUUUACAAUGUUCCACUAGCUUCAGAAAACCCGCUACAGUUUCUAGGAAGCUCCAAUGCAGGGAUCCCUCACCUGACCGCCAUCAUAGCAUAAUCAACCCAAGGACCUCCCUACACUGACCACUCCCCUACUGCCCUUGCCCCUUUCGGGUAAGGUAGUCAUCCACUAGCUUUCCUAAUUAGUCAGCCAAGGGCAUCCCAUACUACCCUUGUGGUGGCACUAUUUUCCCGGGUGGUUCUCCAUGUUCCCAUUAACAUAAUGAUCUUAUCAUGAACAUAAAUAACAUAACAGAAUAAUAGGAACAUGGAUAUAAUGAAAUAUUAACCCAAAAACCGUGUAAAGCAAUAGCAUAACUACCCAAUGAUUCAGGGGUAAACAAGGUAAAAGAUAAACAGUCUAGGGUGACCUAUUGGGUCCCAUCAAAAUUAAACCUAUGCAUGAAUAGUGAUAAUAAAGAAUAUAAUUGUGUAACAAAAGUGGAUCAAGGGCAAAACUUGCCUGGCACUUGAGAUUCCAGUUACCUGGGUGAUUCUUUAGAUCCUCGAAACCUCGCGCUAGUCGUAGCAAUACAAACAAACAUGGUAUAGAUAAAAUUAACAUCACACCAAACAUAACAACAAACUGAAUAAUAAUGAUCUACGCGAAGCUAUAAGAUCGUGGGAUCGAGAACUACUAAGAUCGGAGUUACGAUUAAGGAGUUAUGAUUUUAUAGAAGAUCCGUGUGAUUAAAUAUUAAACUAUAUUAUAAAUUGGUUAAUAUAAAUCAUAUGAGAGGUUAUUUUAUAAAUAAUUAUCUCAACUUUAAUCUAAGUUAUGAAUUGACCAUAAAUCAUCUUAUAGUAGAUUAUAAUGAUAAGUAGAUUAACAAGACUAACCCACAAAAAUUAAAUAAAGAUCUAAUUAGAAAAGAAUGAGACAUGGUAUAAUAACUAUUGUUAUUGCAUAGUAAUUAUUUAUACGAGACUAAUGCAACUUGAAUGGAUCAAAUCGGAGUUAUAGAUUUUAAGUUAUGAAUUUCCAAAGAUUUUAUGUGUUUUGUACAAGAUUAAAUAGAAUAUAAAUUUAAUUUGACUUUCAUGUCAAAACAGUGGUACUAACUAAUAAACAAUAAUAUUACAAAAUUAUAGGAAUUGGAAUGGAUUAAUUUGGACUCCAUAUGAAUUUUCUAUGAUUUAUAAAAAUUUCAGCAUUUAUUUUCACGUUUAAAAAUCAUUUUCCAAUUACUUUUAGUGGAUUUCUAAUUCCCUGGACUGGGCGUCAAAUUCUAGAAAAGACAGGAGCUCAUCUAUAAUUUUCCACAAGACUCAGACCGCAACCCUACUGGACGGCGGGUUAAUUCACAAGAAGUCGAAGGGCUCUUUUGCAAACAUGCGAGGUCGAAGGGGUAUGAGAGCGUCAGAGCCGUCCGAUCGAAAUCUGAAGAUCCAGAUUAGAUCCCGAGCCAAUCGAACGAAAUACAGUGCGGACCUUCGGAUUAAGAUCUAACGGUGUAGAUGUUUAUAUAUCCAGAUCCAAUCGCCACCACUGGAUCUACAGCCUACGGUUCAGAUUCUAAACUCCGGAGAUCGCACCGCGUCCAUCCGAUCACGGAUCAAUGGUCCGAGCAUGACUGGGGCUUUGCAGUCAAUCGUGACCGGACACGCAUGGAUCAACGGCCGAGCGGCGUCCAAACCGAAGGGGUACGCAUAUCUAAACCACGCCGUUAGAUCCGGAUCCGAUGACCGGUGUUCAUCAACUAACCCAGCGGCGGCUGAGCGGCGGCGCGCUUAUGCCCCGCGGCGGAGCAUCGCCGUCGCGUGCUUGAUCCGGCUCCUAGUGCGAGCCACUACGCGAUUUCUAGUGCAAAACGAAGCCAAUAGAACAACAAGGGCGGAGAUGGUGAUUUUACCGGCGAUUAAGCUCUAAGGAAGUCCGCCCUCGCUGCGCGGCGGCUCGAGCACGAGAGGAGAGGUCCAGCGACCAAUUCGUGAAGUCCUCGACGACAAUUCCAGGUGGCGUGGCCACCAGCGCCCGCCCCGCAGCCGAGGGAAGGCCCUGAGCCCCAUAAUGGAGGCGCGGACGACGGCAAGCCGGAGCACCCCUGCAGUAGCCCCAGCUUCUCUCCGUGGCGGCAGGAAAUUCUCACGAUUGCGGCAAGGAUGGCGGGGUAAGGGUGGGGCGAGUUGAUCGAGUCGCUGGCCGAGUCCUUUAUGCGCCCCUGGGGUUCGCAGCAUGAGCUGUAGGCAGUCGUUCCGCCGAUCCGUACAAGGCGGAAAUCUCCCGG